UGGGGAAUAUUGCACAAUGGGCGCAAGCCUGAUGCAGCCAUGCCGCGUGUAUGAAGAAGGCCUUCGGGUUGUAAAGUACUUUCAGCGGGGAGGAAGGGAGUAAAGUUAAUACCUUUGCUCAUUGACGUUACCCGCAGAAGAAGCACCGGCUAACUCCGUGCCAGCAGCCGCGGUAAUACGGAGGGUGCAAGCGUUAAUCGGAAUUACUGGGCGUAAAGCGCACGCAGGCGGUUUGUUAAGUCAGAUGUGAAAUCCCCGGGCUCAACCUGGGAACUGCAUCUGAUAAUGGCAAGCUUGAGUCUCGUAGAGGGGGGUAGAAUUCCAGGUGUAGCGGUGAAAUGCGUAGAGAUCUGGAGGAAUACCGGUGGCGAAGGCGGCCCCCUGGACGAAGACUGACGCUCAGGUGCGAAAGCGUGGGGAGCAAACAGG
rnacentral:rRNA from 1 species